rnacentral:rRNA from 1 species
UGGGGAAUUUUGGACAAUGGGCGAAAGCCUGAUCCAGCAAUGCCGCGUGUGUGAAGAAGGCCUUCGGGUUGUAAAGCACUUUUGUCCGGAAAGAAAUCCUUGGCUCUAAUACAGUCGGGGGAUGACGGUACCGGAAGAAUAAGCACCGGCUAACUACGUGCCAGCAGCCGCGGUAAUACGUAGGGUGCAAGCGUUAAUCGGAAUUACUGGGCGUAAAGCGUGCGCAGGCGGUUUGCUAAGACCGAUGUGAAAUCCCCGGGCUCAACCUGGGAACUGCAUUGGUGACUGGCAGGCUAGAGCAUGGCAGAGGGGGGUAGAAUUCCACGUGUAGCAGUGAAAUGCGUAGAGAUGUGGAGGAAUACCGAUGGCGAAGGCAGCCCCUGGGCCCAAUAGCUGACGCUCAUGCAC